UACGUAGGGGGCAAGCGUUGUCCGGAUUUAUCGGGCGUAAAGAGCGUGUAGGCGGUCAGGUAGGUCCGUUGUGAAAACUCGAGGCUCAACCUCGAGACGCCGAUGGAAACCAUCUGACUAGAGUCCGGAAGAGGAGAGUGGAAUUCCUGGUGUAGCGGUGAAAUGCGCAGAUAUCAGGAAGAACACCCGUGGCUAAGGCGGCUCUCUAGUACGGUACUGACGCUGAGACGCGAAAGCGUGGGGAGCGAACAGG
rnacentral:rRNA from 1 species